rnacentral:rRNA from 1 species
UACGAAGGGUGCAAGCGUUGCUCGGAUUCAUUGGGCGUAAAGGGUAGGUAGGUGGUCUUAUUUGUCUGGGGUGAAAUCCCUGAGCUUAACUCAGGAAGUGCCUCGGAAACGGUAAGACUAGAGUACUGGAGAGGGUCGUGGAAUUCCCGGUGUAGCGGUGAAAUGCGUAGAGAUCGGGAGGAACACCAAAAGCGAAAGCGGCGACCUGGACAGUUACUGACACUCAACUACGAAAGCGUGGGGAGCAAACGGG